rnacentral:rRNA from 1 species
AGAGUUUGAUCAUGGCUCAGAAUCAACGCUGGCGGCGUGCCUAACACAUGCAAGUCGAGCGAGAAAAGGGGGGCAACUCCCUGAGUAAAGCGGCGCACGGGUGAGUAACACGUGGGUAAUCUGCCUCAGAGUGGGGAAUAACACCGGGAAACCGGUGCUAAUACCGCAUACGAUCACGAUGUCUGUGAUGUUGUGAUGAAAGGCGCAAGUCGCUCUGAGAGGAGCCCGCGGCUGAUUAGCUAGUUGGUGAGGUAAUGGCUCACCAAGGCUGCGAUCAGUAUCCGGUCUGAGAGGACGGUCGGACACACUGGAACUGAGACACGGUCCAGACUCCUACGGGAGGCAGCAGUGGGGAAUUUUUGGCAAUGGGGGCAACCCUGACCAAGCAACGCCGCGUGGGUGAUGAAGUCUCUUGGGACGUAAAACCCUUUCGACAGGGACGAAAGCCGCAAGGUUUGACGGUACCUGUAGAAGAAGCCCCGGCUAACUCCGUGCCAGCAGCCGCGGUAAUACGGGGGGGGCAAGCGUUGUUCGGAAUUACUGGGCGUAAAGGGCGCGUAGGCGGUCUGCUAAGUUGGAUGUGAAAACUCUGGGCUUAACCCAGAGCCUGCAUCCAAAACUAGCAGGCUGGAGUUCUGGAGGGGAUAGCGGAAUUCCUGGUGUAGCGGUGAAAUGCGUAGAUAUCAGGAGGAACACCGGUGGCGAAGGCGGCUAUCUGGACAGAAACUGACGCUGAGGCGCGAAAGCUAGGGGAGCAAACAGGAUUAGAUACCCCUGUAGUCC